rnacentral:tRNA from 1 species
GCCUGGGUGGCUCAGUGGUUGAGCAUCUGCCUCUGAUUCAGGGCGGGAUCCCAGGAUCAAGUCCUGCAUCAGGCU